AGGAUGAACGCUGGCGGCGUGCCUAACACAUGCAAGUCGAACGCGCUCCAUUCGGUAGCAAUACUGAUGAAGAGUGAGUGGCGAACGGGUGAGUAACACAUGAGCAACCUGCCCCGAAGACCGGGACAACACCGGGAAACCGGUGCUAAUACCGGAUAUCCCUAUCGGACCGCAUGAUCUGAUAAGGAAAUGGAUUCCGCUUCGGGAGGGGCUCGUGGCCUAUCAGCUAGUUGGUGAGGUAAUAGCUCACCAAGGCAUCGACGGGUAGCUGGUCUGAGAGGACGAUCAGCCACACUGGGACUGAGACACGGCCCAGACUCCUACGGGAGGCAGCAGUGGGGAAUCUUGCGCAAUGGGCGAAAGCCUGACGCAGCAACGCCGCGUGGAGGACGAAUGCUUUCUGAGUUGUAAACUCCUUUCAGCAGGGACGAUUGUGACGGUACCUGCAGAAGAAGCACCGGCCAACUACGUG
rnacentral:rRNA from 1 species